rnacentral:rRNA from 1 species
AACGAACGCUGGCGGCAUGCCUAACACAUGCAAGUCGAACGAAACCUUCGGGUAGAGUGGCGCACGGGUGCGUAACGCGUGAGAACCUGCCAUUAGGUUCGGAAUAACUCCCCGAAAGGGGUGCUAAUACCGGAAAAUGUCUUCGGACCAAAGAUUUAUCGCCUUUGGAUGUGCCCGCGUUGGAUUAGCUAGUUGGUAGGGUUAAUGCCUAACUAGGCGACGAUCCGUAGCCGGUUUCAGAGGAUGAUCAGCCACAUUGGGACUGAGACACGGCCCAGAACACUGCGACAGGCAGACGUCCGGGACUCUUCCCGAUGGACGCAAUGGGGACUGUGGGACGCCGGGUGAGAGAUUGAUGCAUUCAUGCUGUGUAGGUGUUGAAGUCCUGAGGGUUGUAAAGCUCUUUUACCGGGGAAAAUAAUGACAGUACCGGGAGAAUAAGCCCCGGCUAACUCCGUG